ensembl:lncRNA
AUUUGGAGUUUCUUGGCUCUGGGAAGGUAUUUAUAAACAAAUGUUAGGGGGCUUUGUUGUACAGGGAGCUGUUCUGAUUGUGCUACUGAGACUGUUCUUCCAGUGAGUGAAAUGUUUUCAUAAAAAUGUUACCAUUGUUGUUGAAAGAGGAAAUCAGCUGCAAUCAAAGGGGUCAGAAAUGAGGAAUGGCUAUCGAUUGAGCUAUGGUGUGCAGUCCUAAAAUACUCCUAUUUGGUGACACUGCAUCUGCUCCAGAUUGCAGUGUAAUCGUGGGCAUUGUGGAUGGCACAGUGGUGAAAAUGGGAACACACACAGAGCUGAUGGGGAAAAAGGAGCCAGAUUAUUCACUUCCAACCUCACAGAAAUCUCUGUCCCAAAUGUAUUUCCUGAAGACACUGAAAUAAACAAGUAUUAAUAGUCAUCUUUUGGUCCAGAAGGGCUAGCCUUGAAGCUAGGAGCUGAUCACAGAGCACAUGCAUUUGAACACCCCAAAAAAUUAUAUUAAAGCACAAAGAGUGAAGAAACAAAAGGCUUGAGCUGUGGAGUUCGAAGUUUGCCCUGCAGCUUUCCAAAGAUUGAAAAUUCUCGGCUCUUGCAUGACAAGGUCAGCCAACUACAUAGACAAGUGCCAAACUUCAGCGUUCCCCAGUGUGUAAAUGUAUUAGGAGACUGGACUUUUAAUUAGCACUGUUCCAGGAAGAGCAAAGAAUCAGUGAGAAGGAAGUAGACAAGAUGCAUCAAUUAAUGUAUUUCAACUGAACUGUUAUAGAAACCUCGGACAAAUGACAGAGAUUGAACAAAUAAUUGCGAACAGCAAAUCUGCCCAUACGGUUUCCUUUCUCAAGAAUUGAAGCAACUUAAAUUCAGAAAAGAACAGGAGUGAGAAAAGGGAAGAAAAUGAUAUGGAAAAAUAAGAACAUUUUGUUUUGAUAUUUUCAAACUGAAAUCUUCUCUUUCAAAGCACUAUCUUCAGUUCUAAAUGAACUUGAACAUUACAAACAGCAAUCAAAGAAGGCUGAAUAACUCAGAAAAGGAAAGGAGAGCACUUCUCUGAUUUGAACCAACUUUGGACUGUGUUUUGUUUGCAUAGUUUGUGGUUCAGCUGUCAGACAGAAAAUUGCCAUGAUUUUAAUGGCAUUAAUUCUGUAUUCCAGUCUGAACCAAAACCAGAUGACAUAAAAUCCAAGGAUGGGCUGAUUUUCAGAGAUUGCUGUUAAAAUGCAAACCAGAAUGAGAGAAGAGAAAUUACAAAAUGUCAGUGUCCUCACAAGGGGAGCGUGAUUCUGCCCUCCAAACAUAUCCCUUCCAGCUCUGUGUGAC